GACGAACCGAGCGAACGUUGUUCGGAAUCACUGGGCUUAAAGGGCGCGUAGGUCGGGCGAUCAAGUCGGUUGGUGAAAUCCUACAGCUUAACUGUAGAACUGCCUCCGAUACUGGUUGUCUCGAGGAAGGUAGGGGCGUGCGGAACAGUUGGUGGAGCGGUGAAAUGCGCAGAUAUCAGGAGAACACCAUAGCGAAGGCA
rnacentral:rRNA from 1 species